rnacentral:rRNA from 1 species
UACAGAGGGUGCAAGCGUUGUCCGGAUUUAUUGGGCGUAAAGCGUUUCGUAGGCGGUUUGGUAAGUUACACUUCAAAUACCAGGGCUCAACCUUGGGAAGGGGUGUAAUACUAUCAGACUUGAAAUAUUUCGGAGUUUUCGGAACUGUCGGUGUAGGAGUGAAAUCCGUUGAUAUCGACAGGAACACCAAGGGCGAAGGCAGAAAACUAGGAAUCUUUUGACGCUGAGGAACGACAGCUAGGGGAGCGAAAGGG